rnacentral:rRNA from 1 species
UACGUAGGUGGCAAGCGAUACUCGGAAUCACUAGGCGUAAAGCGCAGGUAGGAGGUUUAGAAAGUCUCUUGUGAAAGCUCCCGGCUUAACUGGGAGAGGUCAAGGGAAACUACUAGGCUAGAGUGUGGUAGAGGUAGCUGGGAAUUCCCGGUGUAGCGGUGAAAUGCGUAGAUAUCGGGAGGAAUACCUAUGGCGAAAGCAGGCUACUGGACCGUCACUGACUC